CUGUUCAUCUGUUGAUGGAUAUUUAGGUUGUUUCCAUAUCUUUUUUUUUUUUUUUAAUUUCUUUGAAUUCUGGUUCUACCAGUCUUGGCGUCUCUGUGUCUCAGUUUUGUUAUGUGUAGAAUGGAGAUAACACUGCUCAGGAACGAUCAAUAUUAGGAUUCCAUGAGGAAAUUUAGAUAGCACUAACCACAUAUAGCACUCAAC
rnacentral:lncRNA from 10 species